rnacentral:rRNA from 1 species
UACGAAUGGAGCGAGCGUUGUUCGGAAUCACUGGGCGUAAAGCGUACGCAGGCCGUCUUGAAAGUCAGGAGUGAAAUCCCAGGGCUUAACCUUGGAAUUGCUUUUGAAACUUCAAGACUAGAAUACUGGAGAGGUUGGCGGAAUUUCGAGUGUAGCAGUGAAAUGCGUAGAUAUUCGAAGGAACACCAAUGGCGAAGGCAGCCAACUGGACAGUUAUUGACGCUCAUGUACGAAAGCGUGGGGAUCAAACAGG